GUAACCUCAAAAGUGGGCCUCAGAGGUCAUCCAGUUCAGGUUUCAUUUUAUAAAGGUUAAUGACAGAAACAGGAAGAGAAAGGCAGGUCAAGAGCAAAACCUUUCAAUUUUCUAUCAUCUGAAGGUCAUCUAGCAGCUGGGGUAUAGGCAGUGAUGAGCUGUCAUAGUUAUGCUUUAUUUGGUCUCAGAUUCAGCCUAUCAAGUGUCCAAAGGAAGAAAGCCAAAGGUCUCCUCAUGCUCUAAUAAGCCACCAGGACAGGAUUUUACAACAAAUGUUGUAAUUACAAAGUUAACUUCUGUAAGACAGAACCACUGAGGGCAAGUUUUUAGCUCUGGGAAUGUAGCAGUGUCAGAGGAAAUAGGGUGCUUUACUUCUCAGCGUACUGGAGGAAAAAGCCUAGUAUGGAGUGGUCAGAACAGAAGCCAGACAACUUUCAGAGUUCAAUCUGGACACAUCAGGAUGGCUUUAUGUUGCUGGAUAUGCACCACUCCACUUCCCCACCUACCCGCUGGUGCAGUGUAAAUACUGGUUCAAAAUAAUCCCAAGUUAGCGCUUAUCUUCACUAGCACUGACACAAGAGAAAACCCCAGACACACAGGUCUGUUCUCUGAGGGUCUCCAGUCUAGGGGAUACACAACACCUGAAAAAGGGAGUAUUGAGUAUCGAGAGAACAAUGCUAAGAAUGCAGAGGGACUAGGAAAUCUAAAUCUGAGCUGGCUUCUAUUCAGUCCACAGAACGAUGGCGAAUGGAAUUUCUCUAUCAUAUCUAACUAGUUCAAGGGGAAGCUGCAUUAAACUACUGUGGUGCCGCUUCCAUCAGCUGUGUACAGGCUGAAAUGAUACCUACAGGGUUUUAAAGUCACUAGGUUCACUAGGUGACUCUCUGGGCUGCACCCCUUCCUGUGAUGUCCGCACCCAAAAAUCCCUACUCACAUGAAAUGCCUAAAGUUGAAAAAUAAAGUCAGAAUAUCGCUCUAUCCGUAGGGAUAAAAACAGAAUAAAUGUCUCUGGAGGACAGGAAAGAACAUUGAUUUAUACCUUGUAAAAAAUACUCUAUAUGCUGUGAAUAUGUAACUGAAGUAAAAAAUGUUACAUUAGGCAAAAGGUACAUUAAUAAUGAUGAUUUGUUAUGGGUACUUCAAA